UACGAAGGGGCUAGCGUUGUUCGGAAUCACUGGGCGUAAAGCGCACGUAGGCGGAUCUUUAAGUCAGGGGUGAAAUCCCGAGGCUCAACCUCGGAACUGCCUUGAUACUGGGGAUCUCGAGUCCGGGAGAGGUGAGUGGAACUGCGAGUGUAGAGGUGAAAUUCGUAGAUAUUCGCAAGAACACCAGUGGCGAAGGCGGCUCACUGGCCCGGAACUGACGCUGAGGUGCGAAAGCGUGGGAGCAACAGGGAUUAAGAAACCCGGAUGAGUCC
rnacentral:rRNA from 1 species